rnacentral:rRNA from 1 species
CAAGUCGAACGCGAAAGUCCCCUUCGGGGGGCGAGUAGAGUGGCGCACGGGUGAGUAACACGUAGGUAAUCUACCUUUGGAUUGGGAAUAACAACCGGAAACGGUUGCUAAUACCGAAUAAUGCAGCGGCACCUAAUGGUGACAGUUGUUAAAGCGGGGGAUCGCAAGACCUCGCGUCUGAAGAGGAGCCUGCGGCAGAUUAGCUAGUUGGUAAGGUAACGGCUUACCAAGGCGAUGAUCUGUAGCCGGCCUGAGAGGGCGGUCGGCCACACUGACACUGACAUACGGGUCAGACUCCUACGGGAGGCAGCAGUCGGGAAUUUUGGGCAAUGGGCGAAAGCCUGACCCAGCAACGCCGCGUGAAGGAUGAAAUCCUUCGGGAUGUAAACUUCGCAAGAACGGGAAGAAUAAGUAAGAGUUAAUAUCUCUUACGAUGACGGUACUGUUUGUAAGCUCCGGCUAACUCCGUGCCAGCAGCCGCGGUAAUACGGGGGGAGCAAGCGUUGUUCGGAUUUACUGGGCGUAAAGGGCGCGUAGGCGGCCACCGCAAGUCGACUGUGAAAUCUCCGGGCUUAACCCGGAAAGGUCAGCCGAUACUGCGGGGCUAGAGUGCAGAAGGGGCAACUGGAAUUCUCGGUGUAGCGGUGAAAUGCGUAGAUAUCGAGAGGAACACCUGCGGCGAAGGCGGGUUGCUGGGCUGACACUGACGCUGAGGCGCGAAAGCUAGGGGAGCGAACGGGAUUAGAUACCCCGGUAGUCCUAGCCUUAAACGAUGAAUGCUUGGUGUCUGGGGUUUUAUA